CUGACGGCGGGUGGCCUCCGCACGAGGCCGUCUCCUGGAAGAGAGGACACAGCACACAGGAGGAACACAUCAGAGGUACAAUCAUCUCUGAGAUGCUUGCAACCCAGGUGGAGGGAUGGGUCUUCGCCAUCUCCCAGGGAACCACAGAGAGACAGUUCCCGAUUUUGAACAGACCCUCCCCUGUCUUGGCGUUGCCUCUUGUGGACGCCACGCCCCCACCUAGCUGGUGUGCCUGCCCGGACCCCAAGUACAGAGCGCUAAGCACAGUGAACCAAGGUCCCGCACAGAUCAAGAAACGCAAAACACUUGUUUUGGGGUCAACGGGCCCCACCGAGGAAACCCAGGGGUACUGGAAGCUGGAACUUUCCGGGGAGGAGGCUUCCUGGAGAAAUGGCUUUGGGCUCAGAACACGGGCCGUGCUUUAGGGGCAUCUCUGCUUUCUUACGGGGACAGAGCUUCCACCCAGGAGCGCACAGGGGGAGCCUGGAUCGGAAAUGCGGUCUUCGCAGAUGCCACUCCUGGAAGAGCCCAAGGUGAG